rnacentral:lncRNA from 1 species
GGCUGUUAAGAUAUCAAACUACAAUCAUCAAAUAAUGCAAUGUCAGCAUUUUAUUGUUCUCAGUGUGAAAAUAUUAAUAGAAAUAAAAUAUACACAUGCUAGUACCCUGAUAGAUAGAACAUUGUAUUAUUAUAAGGUGUCGCAUACACUGGUACUGAUGCUACUUUGAGUGUGUUCACACCGGGCAAGCAGAAGAGUUUGCUUGACAGCGGUGGGAAUCGAACCCGCAAUCUUCGGUUUGCCAGUCCAAUGCUCUACCGACUGGGCCAUACAUGCAGGGUGUCAAGUCGGUAAGAAAACCAAAGGUUGUGGGUUCGAUUCCCACUGCGAUCAAGCAAGAGGAGCAUCAUAAACAAACAGUGGUCUACAUAUUUAUCUAUAUCCCACUAACAAUGAAUAAAAUCAUUAAAAAAAGAAACUGUGUCCAAUGUGUGAAAUAAGGGUAUAGUUUUUAGAAAUGAAUAGAUUCAAACAUAUUCCCAGCUAUGUUGUUGUCAUGACAUUCAGUGUCUUAGCACUGUUGCAACAUGUGACAUGAUUAUGGCUGUCAGCAGGUGGUAUGCUAUAAAUCAUUUCUGGCAAAUGUUUUUGUCAUGAGAAAUGAAAUCAAUAUUGCAGGUGAGAAAAAGAAACAUUUCCUAGCUCAUUCAAUAUUGUAAAAUGCUGUUUUAUAGUGAAAUAAAUCAAGAUAUUCCUUGAAAAUGUCUUCCUUGGAAUACACUCUUUUGAUAUUUAUGUCACAACUCCUUCCCUGUCCAGGAAACCUUUAGUUCGUGAAUUUAUUUUUUUAUGAGAGUGCGGCUUCUAGACCAAAGGGGUAGUUGUGAUUUAAUUACCUAAAGGGUGUAUUGAGAUGGGUAAAAGUAAAAAUUUACUGUAGUUAUAUGUAGAAGGUGGUGAUCAUAUCUUGCUUAAAAGGACAAUGCUCUGAAAUGCAACAAUAUUUUACUUGCUGUAUUUACAUUUUACUGAUUUUAGAGCAUUUGCUGUAUUUACAUUUUACUGAUUUUAGAGCAUUGCUGUAUAAACACAAGAGAAAUCUUACUGUUUAUAAAUAAUUAUUUUUGUUUUUCCCAAGGAAGCAAAAAGGCUCACAAUACUCAGGAGUGGUUUUCACCAAUCUCUGAUCCCAGCAUGGAAAAUAGCUCUAUGGGAAUAUCUUUAUAUCUCGAUAUAUUUCACCAUGACAUGGAUGUCUAAUACUCCGCUUUUAUUGCCGACAGCCAUAAUCUCGAUUCAUGCCGAAACAAUGCAGGGCAUUGCGGAGCUAGCCAAAAUUUCCGCAGCAUGCCAUGUUAUUAAUAUGCCAACUGAGAGAUCGGCAGAACGACUUUCAGUCGGAGUCCAGCUCCGAUUCUACGGCCACUGUGCACAAGGCAUCCCUUAUCUUCCUCGCCCCAUCGCUUUUCCCAUCAUUUCCAGCAUUAUGGCAAACAACUUCUUGUAAAACUACGUCAAUAGUCCUAAAUUUUCCACUCUGUUCGCCCGCCAUUUUGAAAGUUUCGCUCUGUAUACUUCAUGUAACUUGCAUGUUUUGGAUACUUUUGCAACGAAAACCGCUGCCCACCG